UCUAUUGUUAGCUCUGCUGCUAGGUCACUGUGUGACCUUGAACAAACCAAUUAACCUCCCCUGAAACUACCAGUUUCUCAACUUUAAAGCAGCACAUUUAAACUUGAUGUUCUCUAAGCUCUUUUCACUUCCAGUAUUCUAAGAUUUUCUAAGGAAUUGAUUUUGUCUUUAACAGUUCACGAAUGAAAAGUUAUCAGUAAAAAGAGUUUUUAUUUUUUCUAGAAAAAGAAAGAUUGGCAGGAGAUACUCCUUCAGGCUAUAUGAGCUUAAAGAAGAGAUGUAAGUACACACAGGGAGAAAACUUCCACUCCCAUGAGGAAAAAAAAUGGUAA